rnacentral:rRNA from 1 species
UGCCCCUACGGGAGGCAGCAGUGGGGGAUAUUGCACAAUGGGGGGAACCCUGAUGCAGCGACGCCGCGUGGGUGAAGGAGCGUUUCGGCGCGUAAAGCCCUAUCGGCAGGGAAGAAGAUGACGGUACCUGAAGAAGAAGCCCCGGCUAACUACGUGCCAGCAGCCGCGGUAAUACGUAGGGGGCAAGCGUUAUCCGGAUUUACUGGGUGUAAAGGGGGCGCAGACGGCGAUGCAAGCCAGGAGUGAAAGCCCGGGGCCCAACCCCGGGACUGCUCUUGGAACUGCGUGGCUGGAGGGCCGGAGGG